rnacentral:tRNA from 1 species
GCCUGGUUGGCUCAGUCAGUAAAGCUUGUGACUCUUGAUCUCGGGUUGUGAGUUCAAGCCCCAUAUUGGGUU